rnacentral:rRNA from 1 species
AGGGUUUGAUCAUGGCUCAGGACGAACGCUGGCGGCGUGCCUAAUGCAUGCAAGUCGCACGCACCCUUCGGGGUGAGUGGCGCACGGCUGAGGAACACGUGGGAAUGUGCCCAUUGGUGGGGGAUAACGGGCCGAAAGGUCCGCUAAGCCCGCAUACGCUCGCAAGGGGAAAGGCGCAAGUCGCCGAUGGAGCAGCCCGCGGCCCAUCAGGUCGUUGGUGGGGUAAUGGCCUACCAAGCCGGUGACGGGUAGCUGGUCUGAGAGGACAGACAGCCAGACUGGGACUGAGACACGGCCCAGACUCCUACGGGAGGCAGCAGCAAGGAAUUUUCGUCAAUGGGCGCAAGCCUGAACGAGCAACGCCGCGUGCAGGAUGACGGCUUUCGGGUUGUAAACUGCUUUUUGGGGGGACGAUAAUGACGGUACCCCCGGAAUAAGCCCCGGCUCACUCUGUGCCAGCAGCCGCGGUAAUACAGAGGGGGCAAGCGUUGUCCGGACUUACUGGGUGUAAAGCGCAUGCAGGUGGCUGUGCAAGUAUGCUGUGAAAGCCCCGUGCUUAACACGGGGAGGCCAGUAUAGACUGCACGGCUCGAGGACUGCAGAGGGUAGGGGAAUUGCUGGUGUAGUGGUGAAAUGCGUAGAGAUCAGCAGGAAUACCAAUGCCGAAGGGACCUACCUGGGCAGUAUCUGACACUCAAGUGCGACAGCGUGGGGAGCGAACCGGAUUAGAUACCCGGGUAGUCCACGCCGUAAACGAUGGAUGCUCGGCGUUUGGGGGAGAAAUCCCCUGGGCGCCUCAGCUGACGCGUAAGCAUCCCACCUGGGAACUACGAGCG